rnacentral:lncRNA from 1 species
ACGAGUUGUACGACAACGCUAUAUAUUCUUUCAUGGAACGCGUCUUGUCAGUAUACCUUACCUAGGAGAGGGAUAAUGCCCUUAGGAGGAAUUUUGGGCUACUGGAGUGAGAAAAGAACCUCUAUCUGGAGGAGAUCCGGUAGUUGAAAGCCUAAGUGGACGAGGUGGAGAGCACAAUGAAGGAGACAUUGGAGCCUGUAGACAAGCUCUAGGCAAACUUGGGCAAGGCCAAUGAUGCGAAGGCCACCUUGAAAAAUCGGACAAAAGCUACUGAGGAUCAAGUGGCUGAGCUUUAACCAUAAAUCCAUGUACAGCAGGCCCACGCCUAGGAGAACCGAGCUACUGCUGACAAAGUUGUAGAACUGGAGAAUGAGCUUAAAGUGGUAGUGGCUCGAGGGGGAAGACUUUAUGUGGAAGCAUAAGAUGUUGACAAAAAGUAGCUGACUGUGCACUUCCUUGGAGGACUUCUCCUAGGUUGACAACAUCCUACUUGAGGAUGAUGAGGAGGAGGAGGAGCAAGAAGGGGAAGAAAGCCCAAAAGAUGAAAACAACCCUUCCAACCUGAUUUUUACCAGAGAUAAUGUAAUAAUUGUAGAUGACAAUAUAAUAGAAGCUCAAGAGUACUCUCCUGCCUUAUAACUGUAUCUCCUCCUCAC